AACAAUCAUUGAGAAAGUCAUUGUAAAACACAAGCAAACAUAAUUGUGCGCAUCCUUUUAUACCGCUGUUUUACAGUUGCUGAAGGACUUUGUCUUGUUAUUUCAAAAGAAAUCGCCAAUGAUUCAUCUGCUUCAUGAUGCACAGGACCAGCUACUGAGGGAUUUCAUGGCCUGCUUUGUGAAGGCUGAACUUGUGGUACACAAAUCAGCUGCACAACUUAAAGCUAUGAAUCUUGGAAUUGAUGAAGGCCAAUCUUCUAGGAAGUCAGAUAUGUUUGUAGGAAUAAAAGCUGAGAUUUCCUCAAAAGAGCCAGCACAUCAUAUAUUCAAUGUACUACACAGAUGCAAAAAAGCUACCCUUGGAUAAUGCCAUGCUGAGAGCUGUUUCUGCCAUUGAUCCAGAUGCACGGGGCCACAAUGAGACUGUGAAAUGUAUUAAAACCCAGAGAGAUAGUCUUAGACAUUUUCUCAGUGAUGAAGAUGUUGAGAAGUUAUCUUUAGAAGUGCACAGAUUUCAAGUAGAUACUUCUCUUCCUUCUUCGAAAAAGCUUAAUGUUGGAGAAAACCAGAAAUAUCCUGCUCUAACCAAGAUGAUCAUGCCAGUUUUGACAUGUUUUCAUGGACCCAUGGUCGAGUCAUCCUUCAGUUUGAUGGGGAACAUUAUUGACCCCAAAUCCUCGAAGAUGAAUGUCAGCACCUUCAAUGCUAUACAGACAGUGAAAUAUGGACUGAAUGCUAGGCAGACACCUUCUCUUGAAAUGUUCCACAAAGAAGAUGUGCUACACACCAGAGUGGACAAGCAGCUAUGUCUGAACAUGAGGAGUGCUGCAAAACAGCAAAAGCAGCGAUGGAAAGACCUAGUUCUUUUGAAACAAAAAAGACUUGACACAUUUAAGGACAAUUUGACCUAUGUUCCACCAAGCAGUCAGGCCAGACUAUCAGUUGCCGAAGCUGAAAAGAUUGCAAGAAUACAGCACCAAAAAUCACAGAAGAGGAAGGCCAUAGAGAGAUUACAUCAUGUAUGUGCCGAAAAGAAAGCCAGAAUGUAACCCAUGUGCAUUUAAAUAUCUUCAUGCAUUUAUACUUUCUGUAACUAGGACAUUCACCACAUUGAAAUUAUUUGACAUUAUUUGUCAUCUAAUAGUGGCAUUUGCCAUAGUUUGACACCCAAUAGCCGAUGUAUUUUUCGUGCUUUGGUGUCGUUAAACAUUCAUUCAUUCAUUCUAAUAGUGGAAAAUUGUGAACAAUCAUCUCUGAUGUACAUGUUUCUUUUAAACAAUUACUGGAUUAUAUUGAUCAACAAGAGAACUUCUACUGCUUAACAUUUGUUGUUGAUCAACUGAACUAAAGAACUGCCUACAUAUUAUUUCUGAUGUAUCAACAAAAUAACUUUUACUACUUAGCAUUUAUUAUUGAACUGCCUACACUUAACAUUUGUCAUUGAUUGAUCAUCUAAAGAACUUGCUACUACAGUACUUGUGAUUGGUUUAUCAACUGAAGAACAUCCUAGUUCUUACUCAACUAAAUUGGUCCUGACAAUACUUGUUUGUCACUUUAAGAUGGCCCAAUCCCAGGCAGUAUUAACUUCAGUUCUACUGCAAGUGUCGAAGAAGGACACGAUCUGACUGUGGACUGCACUGUUGACUGUAACCCGCCAUGUGACUACUCCUGGACACUGGGUGAUAAUCAAACCACAACAAGUCCUCUGUUAAAUCUGACAGUCAUCAGCAGGAAUCAGGACGGGAAUGUGUACAGCUGUACAACGACAAACAUUGUUCUACUUACAUCUAUAAGUAAAAACUUUACGCUGACAGUCACUUAUGAUCCAGAGCGCAUGUCUGCGUUAAGUGCAGGUGCUAUAUCGGGAAUUGUGAUCGCUGUUGUUCUGGCUCUUGCUAUUCCUACUGUGUGCAUACUUUAUGAGAGGAAAAUAAAGAAGAAAGCUGAAGAUGUGCAGAACGAAUCUAAUAACUAACAGAAACCAAAAUCAAACUCACAACCCUGCAUGUUUCCGUAAUUAGUACCUGGAGAUAGAAGACAGAAACAUGCUAAUGUUAGAACUCCACAGUUUACUUUUUCAAUUCGUAUGAAACCGUAUCAGUAAACAAGACUCUUUUGUUGUUGUUUUUUGUUGUUUUUUUGGGUGUUCCACUAUUUUAUAUAUAUAUAUUUAUUUGUUUUAAACUAAAAUUGUAACUGAAAUCAGACUGAAGU